UAAUUCAAGUAUACUUUAUUUUUUAAAAGGGUGCUUUAUAUCAAUCAUUAGUAUUCUGCCUUUCCUUAUAAAAUCUGAACAUUGUUUGAUAAAGAUUGUCAUCCAAAAAUAUUUGAUUUCUAAGCUUCAGUAGUUCACCAACAAGCAGUUGCUUGGUUACUUGAUCCAUUUUACAAUAUAUCACAAGCAUAACAAAUCCCUCCUCCUAAAUUAUCUUUGUUUAAUGUCCCAGUAGUUAACCUUGUAAACUCCCCUUGAACAGCACAUUUUAAAGAGUCAAAUCACCUUGCCAGAUCCAACUCUGACCUAGUUUGACCUCCCAGUUGGUCCAAUUCCCUUAGUCCCCCCAUUCAUGCUCACAGAACAAAGGAAUGUUUUAUAAAGCAUAGUCUAUUGAUCUCUAACUCU
rnacentral:lncRNA from 1 species